rnacentral:tRNA from 1 species
GAGGGUACAGCUCAGUGGUAGAGCUCAUGCUUAGCAUGCACGAGGUCCUGGGUUCAAUCCCUAGUACCUCCA